UACGUAGGUGACAAGCGUUGUCCGGAUUUACUGGGCGUAAAGAGCGCGCAGGCGGUCGAUCAAGUCGAGUGUGAAAGCCCCCGGCUCAACUGGGGAGGGUCAUUCGAUACUGAUCGACUCGAAGGCAGGAGAGGGUAGUGGAAUUCCCGGUGUAGUGGUGAAAUGCGUAGAUAUCGGGAGGAACACCAGUGGCGAAGGCGACUACCUGGCCUGUUCUUGACGCUGAGGAGCGAAAGCCAGGGGAGCAAACGGG
rnacentral:rRNA from 1 species